AACUAUGCAUGCAUCCGGCUGGACUGCCUAUAAUUAUAAAUCUCCCAACAACAAUCUAACUUGCUUACUUAGUUUCAUUGCAUAUUUCAAAAAUGUUAAAACCCUUCCUCCUCAUUUUCUUUAGUUUGAGCCUUGCCUUUUUGGUAGGCCAUGCGCAAAGACGCCCACCACCAAGGCGUCCCCCACCGCCAGCACCAAUUUUUCUACGUCCACCACCACCAAAG
rnacentral:lncRNA from 1 species